GACGUAGGGGGCGAGCGUUGUCCGGAUUUAUUGGGCGUAAAGAGCGUGUAGGCGGCCAGGUAGGUCCGCUGUGAAAACUCGAGGCUCAACCUCGAGAUGUCGGCGGAAACCAUCUGGCUAGAGUCCGGAAGAGGAGAGUGGAAUUCCUGGUGUAGCGGUGAAAUGCGCAGAUAUCAGGAAGAACACCCGUGGCGAAGGCGGCUCUCUGGGACGGUACUGACGCUGAGACGCGAAAGCGUGGGGAGCGAACAGG
rnacentral:rRNA from 1 species